UGCUUACUCAUAUUUGGUGAACCAUAGUGU
rnacentral:piRNA from 1 species